UAGGGAUUUCCCUUAGUAACGGCGAGUGAACCGGGGAUGAGCUCAAAUUUUAAAAUCUGGCGUCUUUCAGGCGUCCGAGUUGUAAUCUAUAGAGGCGUUUUCCGCGCCGGACCGCGUCCAAGUCUCUUGGAAUAGAGUAUCAAAGAGGGUGACAAUCCCGUACUUGACGCGACAACCGGUGCUCUGUGAUACGUUCUCAAUGAGUCGAGUUGUUUGGGAAUGCAGCUCUAAAUGGGUGGUAAAUUCCAUCUAAGGCUAAAUAUUGGCGAGAGACCGAUAGCGAACAAGUACCGUGAGGGAAAGAUGAAAAGCACUUUGGAAAGAGAGUUAAACAGCACGUGAAAUUGUUAAAAGGGAAACGAUUGAAGUCAGUCGUGUGAAAGGUAUUCAGCCGUCUGCUGAGCGGUGUAUUUGCCUUUCACGGGUCAACAUCAGUUUGAUCCGGUAGAAAAAGGCGGGAGGAAGGUGGUUACCCUCGGGUGUGUUAUAGCCUCCUGUCAUAUGUGCCGGACCAGACUGAGGAACGCAGCUUGCCGCAAGGCCGGGGUUCGCCCACGUACAAGCUUAGGAUGUUGACAUAAUGGCUUUAAACGACCCGUCUUGAAACACGGACCA
rnacentral:rRNA from 1 species